rnacentral:rRNA from 1 species
ACUUAAUUUCAACAACGGAUUCCUUGGCUCUUCCCUCGAUUAAAAACCCCACCAAAUGCCAAUAAUAAUGGGAAUUGCAAAAUUCAGUUGAACCAUCAAAUCUUUAACCGCACCUUGCCCUCCUGGUUAUUCCUGGAACCAGGCCGGUUUAAUAAUCAGAAAU